AGGGGUUUGAUCAUGGCUCAGAACGAACGCUGGCGGCAGGCCUAACACAUGCAAGUCGAGCGCACUUAUGACCUUCGGGUUAUAGGCGAGGCGGNGNACGGGGUUAGNAACGCGGGGGGANCCNCCCUUUNCACAANGNAAANNCCUUUUUGNAAACAAAANNNUUNUCNCNNNNAUACGCCCUUUGGGGGAAAGAUUUAUCGGUAAAGGAUCGGCCCGCGUAAGAUUAGAUAGUUGGUGGGGUAAUGGCCUACCAAGUCUACGAUCUUUAGCUGGUUUGAGAGGAUGAUCAGCAACACUGGGACUGAGACACGGCCCAGACUCCUACGGGAGGCAGCAGUGGGGAAUCUUAGACAAUGGGCGCAAGCCUGAUCUAGCCAUGCCGCGUGAGUGAAGAAGGCCUUAGGGUCGUAAACUCUUUCGCCAGAGAUGAUAAUUGACAGUAUCUGG
rnacentral:rRNA from 1 species